rnacentral:rRNA from 1 species
UACGGAGGGUGCAAGCGUUAUCCGGAUUUACUGGGUUUAAAGGGUGCGUAGGUGGGUAGGUAAGUCAGUGGUGAAAUCUUCGAGCUUAACUCGGAAACUGCCAUUGAUACUAUUUAUCUUGAAUACUCUGGAGGUAAGCGGAAUAUGUCAUGUAGCGGUGAAAUGCUUAGAUAUGACAUAGAACAUCUAUUGCGAAGGCAGCUCACUACGGGAAUAUUGACGCUGAGGCACGAAAGCGUGGGGAUCAAACAGG